rnacentral:misc_RNA from 1 species
AAGUCGUAACAAGGUUUCCGUAGGUGAACCUGCGGAAGGAUCAUUGCUGAUGCCGGCGGCAUGCGGUCGAUCCCUCGCGAGGGGGUGAGGCCGCUGCCGCUUUCAACAUCAUCUGCCCCUUUGUGAACCCGGCACCGGAGCGCCGUCGUGGCGAGCGAGCUUUGGGGCCCGCUUCGUCCUGGUCUCCUCUGCCCAAACAACCUGUCUUUUAUUGCCUGUCUCCCCAGACUGAAGCAACAAAAACAAAAACAUAUCUUACAACUUUUAACAAUGGAUAUCUUGGCUCGC